rnacentral:rRNA from 1 species
CCUACGGGUGGCAGCAGUCGAGAAUCAUUCACAAUGGGGGAAACCCUGAUGGUGCGACGCCGCGUGGGGGAAUGAAGGUCUUCGGAUUGUAAACCCCUGUCAUGUGGGAGCAAAUUAAAAAGAUAGUACCACAAGAGGAAGAGACGGCUAACUCUGUGCCAGCAGCCGCGGUAAUACAGAGGUCUCAAGCGUUGUGCGGAAUCACUGGGCGUAAGGCGUGCGUAGGCUGUUUCGUAAGUCGUGUGUGAAAGGCGCGGGCUCAACCCGCGGACGGCACAUGAUACUGCGAGACUAGAGUAAUGGAGGGGGAACCGGAAUUCUCGGUGUAGCAGUGAAAUGCGUAGAUAUCGAGAGGAACACUCGUGGCGAAGGCGGGUUCCUGGACAUUAACUGACGCUGAGGCACGAAGGCCAGGGGAGCGAAAGGGAUUAGAUACCCUAGUAGUC